CCUUCUCCAUGAUUGAAUUGUGAGGUCAUCAGCACAGCAAGCUACAUCUCUGGACUUCUGUGAGGUCAUCUUUACUACAGAGCAUAUACUGAAGACAGAAUGGCAGGAGACGUAGACCCAAGACAGGUGGACCUUCUCCAUGAUUGAACUGUGAGGUCAUCAGCACAGCAAGCUACAUCUCUGGACUUCUGUGAGGUCAUCUUUACUACAGAGCAUAUACUGAAGACAGAAUGGCAGGAGACGUAUACCCAAGACAGGUGGACCUUCUCCAUGAUUGAACUGUGAGGUCAUCAGCACAGCAAGCUACAUCUCUGGACUUCUGUGAGGUCAUCUUUACUACAGAGCAUAUACUGAAGACAGAAUGGCAGGAGACGUAGACCCAAGACAGGUAAUUAAUAUUAUUAUUAAUUACUGAUAACUUCCAGGCUAGACUUUAGUUCUAGACCUGUAGAGGCGUGGUAAUAUAUUCCUGCUAUACAUGUAUAUUUAUCAGAUAUGUGUGUUUGCCGUAGACUCUAUUCUUUGUAAAAAUGAAGGGAUAAUAAAUAGGCCCCUUAGAGAGAAAUCACCCUGCCAACAGGGACAAGUGCAAAGAGAUAGUUAUGCAACAGAGUGUGUGUAUGUGUAUAUGUGUGUGUGUAUGAGCUGUUACAUGUUAUGAAAUUUAGACUGUAAGCUCCAAUAGGGCAGGGACUCUUGUGAGUAAUAUAUGAUAUACUCUACUCAGCGAUGCAUACAUUUUUGUUGAUAGGGUCAUCUGUGAUAUAGAGUGAUCGAUAGAUAGUUAUUUCCCCAGUAUGUAGAUUAUUUAGAUUUA